rnacentral:tRNA from 1 species
GCAUUUGUAGCUCAGUGUUAGAGCGCCAGUCUUGUAAACUGGAUGCCGGAGGUUAAAAUCCUCCCUUUUGCU